GCUAUCUGCAGUCGAGCGACAGAGAAGGAGCUUGCUCCUUUGACGUUAGCGGCGGACGGGUGAGUAACACGUGGGCAACCUACCUUAUAGUUUGGGAUAACUCCGGGAAACCGGGGCUAAUACCGAAUAAUCUGUUUCACCUCAUGGUGAAAUAUUGAAAGACGGUUUCGGCUGUCGCUAUAGGAUGGGCCCGCGGCGCAUUAGCUAGUUGGUGAGGUAACGGCUCACCAAGGCGACGAUGCGUAGCCGACCUGAGAGGGUGAUCGGCCACACUGGGACUGAGACACGGCCCAGACUCCUACGGGAGGCAGCAGUAGGGAAUCUUCCACAAUGGGCGAAAGCCUGAUGGAGCAACGCCGCGUGAGUGAAGAAGGAUUUCGGUUCGUAAAACUCUGUUGUAAGGGAAGAACAAGUACAGUAGUAACUGGCUGUACCUUGACGGUACCUUAUUAGAAAGCCACGGCUAACUACGUGCCAGCAGCCGCGGUAAUACGUAGGUGGCAAGCGUUGUCCGGAAUUAUUGGGCGUAAAGCGCGCGCAGGUGGUUUCUUAAGUCUGAUGUGAAAGCCCACGGCUCAACCGUGGAGGGUCAUUGGAAACUGGGAGACUUGAGUGCAGAAAGGAUAGUGGA
rnacentral:rRNA from 1 species